rnacentral:rRNA from 1 species
UACGGGGGGGGCAAGCGUUGUUCGGAAUUACUGGGCGUAAAGGGCUCGUAGGCGGCCAACUAAGUCGGAUGUGAAAUCCCCAGGCUCAACUUGGGAACUGCAUCCGAUACUGGAUGGCUUGAAUUCGGGAGAGGGAUGCAGAAUUCCAGGUGUAGCGGUGAAAUGCGUAGAUAUCUGGAGGAAUACCCGUGGCGAAGGCGGCUCUCUGGGACGUGACUGACGCUGAGACGCGAAAGCGUGGGGAGCGAACAGG